AGUGAACGCUGGCGGUAGGCCUAACACAUGCAAGUCGAACGGCAGCACAGUAAGAGCUUGCUCUUACGGGUGGCGAGUGGCGGACGGGUGCGGAAUACAUCGGAAUCUACUUUUUCGUGGGGGAUAACGUAGGGAAACUUACGCUAAUACCGCAUACGACCUACGGGUGAAAGCAGGGGAUCUUCGGACCUUGCGUGAUUGAAUGAGCCGAUGUCGGAUUAGCUAGUUGGCGGGGUAAAGGCCCACCAAGGCGACGAUCCGUAGCUGGUCUGAGAGGAUGAUCAGCCACACUGGAACUGAGACACGGUCCAGACUCCUACGGGAGGCAGCAGUGGGGAAUAUUGGACAAUGGGCGCAAGCCUGAUCCAGCCAUACCGCGUGGGUGAAGAAGGCCUUCGGGUUGUAAAGCCCUUUUGUUGGGAAAGAAAAGCAGCAGGUUAAUACCCCGCUGUUCUGACGGUACCCAAAGAAUAAGCACCGGCUAACUUCGUG
rnacentral:rRNA from 1 species